rnacentral:lncRNA from 1 species
ACCUGUUCUGGGUGCUGUUCUUCCCACGUGUCGAUGAUGAUGGUGGAGAAAAAUGUCUCUGUGUUCAUCUGGGUUCAGUCGAGCUGUGAAGGCCUCAGCAUACUAUUCACAUCAGAUUCACGUCAAACCAAAGCAGAAAAACCCUCUUCACAGGAAAGAGUACAAACACACAAAGAAACCAGCUCGUUCUACACGUACCGUCCCGAAGAAGGUCGCUGCCGACAGCGACGAAGACGACGACAGCUUCAUUGAUGAUGACAGUGAGGACGGGGGCAACGACUCCGACUACCUCCCUCCUGACUCGGACGACAGCGGUAAGGAGGACGUCAGAAGACUGAAGCAAGAAGCUCAGCAGUUCCUGAAGAGGAGGAGGUAG